rnacentral:rRNA from 1 species
GACGAACGCUGGCGGCGUGCCUAAUACAUGCAAGUUGAGCGCUGAAGGUUGGUACUUGUACCAACUGGAUGAGCAGCGAACGGGUGAGUAACGCGUGGGGAAUCUGCCUUUGAGCGGGGGACAACAUUUGGAAACGAAUGCUAAUACCGCAUAAAAACUUUAAACACAAGUUUUGAGUUUGAAAGAUGCAAUUGCAUCACUCAAAGAUGAUCCCGCGUUGUAUUAGCUAGUUGGUGAGGUAAAGGCUCACCAAGGCGAUGAUACAUAGCCGACCUGAGAGGGUGAUCGGCCACAUUGGGACUGAGACACGGCCCAAACUCCUACGGGAGGCAGCAGUAGGGAAUCUUCGGCAAUGGACGAAAGUCUGACCGAGCAACGCCGCGUGAGUGAAGAAGGGUUUCGGAUCGUAAAACUCUGUUGGUAGAGAAGAACGUUGGUGAGAGUGGAAAGCUCAUCAAGUGACGGCAACUACCCAGAAAGGGACGGCUAACUACGUG